rnacentral:rRNA from 1 species
UACGGAGGGCGCGAGCGUUGUCCGGAAUCACUGGGCGUAAAGGGCGCGUAGGUGGCCUGUGGAAGUCUGCGGUGAAAGCCCGGCGCUCAACGCCGGGUCGGCCGUGGAUACUCUCGGGCUUGAGCUUACUAGAGGCAGAUGGAAUUCCGGGUGUAGCGGUGGAAUGCGUAGAGAUGUGGAGGAACACCGAUGGCGAAGGCAGCCUCCUGGGCCAGCACUGACGCUCAUGCACGAAAGCGUGGGGAGCAAACAGG